rnacentral:rRNA from 1 species
UACGGGGGGGGUAAGCGUUGUUCGGAAUUACUGGGCGUAAAGGGCUCGUAGGCGGCCAACUAAGUCAUACGUGAAAUCCCUCAGCUUAACUGGGGAACUGCGUGUGAUACUGGAUGGCUUGGAUUUGGGAGAGGGAUGCGGAAUUCCAGGUGUAGCGGUGAAAUGCGUAGAUAUCUGGAGGAGCACCGGUGGCGAAGGCGGCAUCCUGGACCAAUAUUGACGCUGAUGCGCGAAAGCCAGGGGAGCAAACGGG